rnacentral:lncRNA from 1 species
CAUAUAAUAAGGUAAUUUAGCAUAAGAUGGCUCCCAUUCUCCAUAAAUAUCAACCAAUGCCUUCUGCUUUCCACACCAUGCUUUCCUGUAUGAUACUGUAUAUUGAAAUUGAUCAUUAACGGCUGCCAUAAUAGCUUCAACUUUAACACCGGGAUCUUUCUCAACAAUAUGUCGGACUAAUGUGCUAAUCAUCUUUCCACUGAUAUAUUUGUGGUCUCGACUCAAUCCCGUAAACAAACAAGUGUGAGGACCCUCAUAUUUUGUGAUUUGAAAAUAUCCAUAUUUUUUCAACAAUGCAGCACGAAGCCUCUAUUUACAAUGCUGAACAUUAUCUGAUGAUGCGCAUCGUACGGACCAUAAUUUCGAAUGCGACUGAACUACAUUGUAUGUCCGAUGCUUCAUAAUGUGAUAAAGAU